UACGUAGGGUGCAGGCGUUAAUCGGAAUUACUGGGCGUAAAGCGUGCGCAGGCGGCUCUUUAAGUCAGAUGUGAAAGCCCCGGGCUUAACCUGGGAAUUGCGUUUGAAACUGGAGAGCUGGAGUGUGGAAGAGGGGGGUGGAAUUCCAGGUGUAGCAGUGAAAUGCGUAGAGAUCUGGAGGAACACCGAUGGCGAAGGCAGCCCCCUGGGCUAACACUGACGCUCAUGCACGAAGGCGUGGGGAGCAAACAGG
rnacentral:rRNA from 1 species